GAGGAGCCCGCGCCCGAUUAGCUAGUUGGUGAGGUAACGGCUCACCAAGGCUAUGAUCGGAAGCUGGUCUGAGAGGAUGGCCAGCCACACUGGAACUGAGACACGGUCCAGACUCCUACGGGAGGCAGCAGUGGGGAAUCUUGCGCAAUGGGCGAAAGCCUGACGCAGCGACGCCGCGUGGGGGAUGAAGCUUCUCGGAGUGUAAACCCCUUUCGACCGGGACGAAUGCCCGCAAGGGAGUGACGGUACCGGUAUAAGAAGCCCCGGCUAACUACGUGCCAGCAGCCGCGGUAAGACGUAGGGGGCCAGCGUUGUUCGGAAUUACUGGGUGUAAAGGGUCAGUAGGCGGUGUGGCAAGUCGGGCGUGAAAUUCCCGGGCUCAACCUGGGGGCUGCGUUUGAUACUGAUGAGCUUGAAUGCGGGAGAGGAUGGUGGAAUUCCCAGUGUAGAGGUGAAAUUCGUAGAUAUUGGGAAG
rnacentral:rRNA from 1 species